UACGUAUGGUGCAAGCGUUAUCCGGAUUUACUGGGUGUAAAGGGAGCGCAGGCGGCACGGCAAGCCUGAUGUGAAAGCCCGCGGCCCAACCGCGGGACUGCAUUGGGAACUACCGGGCUGGAGUGCCGGAGAGGUAGGCGGAAUUCCUAGUGUAGCGGUGAAAUGCGUAGAUAUUAGGAGGAACACCGGUGGCGAAAGCGGCUCUCUGGCCUGUAACUGACACUGAGGCUCGAAAGCGUGGGGAGCAAACAGG
rnacentral:rRNA from 1 species